rnacentral:ncRNA from 1 species
AAUAUACUGCCACCGGGUAGAAAAAGUGCAAACGGCACCUUAUACACAUCGUUAGGUCUUUGAAGAUGUGUAUUAAGGUGUUUUUUUAAU